rnacentral:tRNA from 1 species
UGUUAAGGGAUGGGAAUCGAACCUACAGUAUUCCGCUUACCAGGCAGAUGCCAUGUCCACUAGGCUAUCACAAGC